AGCUUAAUGAUCACGUGGUCGAGUGAUAGUGUGCAACCUGCGCAUUCGUAGUGAAGUCUGUGGCUGUAGAGGUCGAGUUGAUUCAUAUGAAGACAUCGAACUCUAAGCAUUUAAAGCACUGUAUUGGAAGAUACAAUGGCACAAGAUACUUGUUGGGAUGAAACCGAAGUAAAACACAUUGCAUCAGAAUUAAAGAAUGGCAGAUUUGUUGAACUUAGCCAAAAGUUUCUUCGGCAGUUAAAAUAUUGUUCCGAACUUACUAACAAGGACGGUGGAUUCGGUAAAAUAUAUAUUUCUCGCGAUUCCAUCCCUGGAUUCAAACACCGACUUGUCUUAAAGGAGAUUGGAGGAGACGACGGGAACAACAAACCUCACACCCAACUUUUAAGUUCAGUUAAAAAUGUAAGUAAUAACUGUAGGGGUUAUAUG